rnacentral:rRNA from 1 species
ACAGCAGCAGCCGCGGUAAUACGAAGGGUGCAAGCGUUACUCGGAAUUACUGGGCGUAAAGCGUGCGUAGGUGGUGGUUUAAGUCCGUUGUGAAAGCCCUGGGCUCAACCUGGGAAUUGCAGUGGAUACUGGGUCACUAGAGUGUGGUAGAGGAUAGUGGAAUUUCCGGUGUAGCAGUGAAAUGCGUAGAGAUCGGAAGGAACAUCUGUGGCGAAGGCGACUAUCUGGGCCAACACUGACACUGAGGCACGAAAGCGUGGGGAGCAAACAGGAUUAGAUACCCGUGUAGUCCCUGUCUCUUAUAC